GAUGUUGUGACUGUAAAGCAAAGUAGCUGUUAUCUUUUUCAGAUUUGUCUUUUGAAUGUUACAGUUAGGAAAGGAAAUGGGAGGAGAGAAUCCGAGUCUUUCCAUGGCAGAUUUGGGGUCUGUUUUCAUAGAUAGCCUGUUCUUGAUGUUUUUAAGCUUCUAAGGAGUCUCUCCUGAACUGAUGGUCAUGAGUUCAUACUAAGAACAAAAGUGCCAAAAUCUGUUCACAAACCAAACUUUUGAUCCAGCUCAACUCUUCUAAACCAAUCUCCAGACUCUACGAGGCAAACUGCAAGUACAGCAGACAUCUUAAGAUUCCUGUAGGGCCUUUUGUUCAAUACUUUCUAUUUGGGAGUGUCUUCCCUCUCUGAGCUGGGAUAGUAGAGGGCUGUCCAGGAGUCGAGUAGGCCUUACUGCAACUAGUCACCCUCUUCUGGACAUGUUCCAACGUAUGUCUUUCCUAAGGUAACAGGAGUCUUCCUCUAUCCUAACUAAGGUCCCCACUCAAUAGUUUGCUCCAGGAAAGCCUCUAUUCAUAGAGGAGGCAAAUUACUGAGCGAUAAUGUCACAGUAUCUAAUUAAGGAUAGUAAAACACAAUGGAGAGGAAAGUCCAUAGGAUAAAAGCCAUUCUUAGUCUCUCAUUUAAAAACAAGACAUAAUCUCUCCUCCAUUCUAUCCCCUUGGACUCUCCAGUCAGUUUUCCUAAGAAACUCAUACUCCAAGGACCCCUGUGGCUACUUGAAGGCUUCUCUGGAGAUAGCAAGGAAAAGGAAUACUGGGAGUUUGGGGAAAACACUUUCUCCCCUGAUAAAGAAACCUCCAAGACUAAGGAAACGUGGGGCUGGGUCAACAGAGAAGAAUCUCAGGCUGUGCUUUAUUCCACUCCUCAUUAGCAACGAGAUGAAUAAGGCUGAUUCUAUCUUGAAGGAGGUCUCUGCUCUUAGAAACUAACCACAGAGAACAGACCUGGUCUUGAUUGAUUCCUGUGGCUCCAGGGUUUUCUUUCACUCUCCCGGAUUUCUUUGCUACUACUCAAUGCUGUUGGUUGGCUGUAUACAGAGAGAGCUUAAGAAGCUAUAAGAGCCCAAACCACACUCUAAGCAGUUGAAGCUGCUACCAGCUGGAGCAAUCUCCCUUAGCAGACUAAUAAAUUUCUUUUCCUUUC